ensembl:lncRNA
GGAAGCCGAAGCCGCCGCAACGGUGGUCCCUCCAGAGGCCAGAGAAGGUUUACUGGAAGCCUCUCCCGAUACCCUUUGCGCUACCGGAAGCCUCACCCCCACACGUUACCCACUCCCCCCCCCCGCAAGCCCACUUCCAGACCAACUUCCGGGUGUGUCAGCCGCCCUUCCCCCACCGUCGCCGGCGGGAACCGCCCGUCUUCUCCGCCAGCAGCUUCCGCCUGCCGCAGUACCGGCACGCGCUCUGGGGUCCCGCCCCUUCCCAGGGAUAGUGACCGGGCGAGCGCGCGCCUCGCGGUACCGAAGACAUCUGAGCACGGGCCAGGGCUUCGGCACCAGAAGCGGGUUGUGAUGGUGCUGGAGAAGACCCUUGAGAGUCCCUUGGACAGCAAGAUCAAACCAGUCAAUCCUAAAGGAAAUCAACCGUGAAUAUUAACUGGAAGGACUAUGCUGAAGCUCCAAUAUUUUGGCCACCUGAUGUGAAGAGCUUACUCAUUGGAAAAGACCUUGAUGCUAGGAAAGAUUAAGGGCAGGAGGGAAAGGGGGUAACAGAAGAUGAGAUAGUUGGAUGGCAUCACCAACUCAAUGGACAUGAGUUUGAGAAACUCCAGGAGAUGGUGAAGGACAGGGAAGCCUGGCAUACUGCAGUUCAUAGAAUUGCAAGUAGUCAGAUACAGCUUAGCGACUGAAAAACAAUGGUGACCUCCAAGAGGGCUCACACUAAGGGGCACUUCCUGGGACUGCUGCUGCUAGUGCCCCCAUCCCUGCAGCGAGCCACUGCUGACCCACGACUCCGCAGGAGUUCAUCGAACACUAGAUGGUUGGUCUGGUUCAGUCUCCUGUGGGGUCACUGCUCCUUUCCUCUCAGUCCUGGCGCACACAAGAUUUUGUUUGUGCCCUCCAAGUGUGAAGUCUCUAUUUCUCUCAGUCCUAUGGAAGUCCUGCAAUCAAAUCCUGUUGGCCUUCACAGUCAGAAUCCCUGGGGAUUCCUAGUCCCUUUGCUGGAUCCCCAGGCUAGGACACUCAGAACCAUCACAAGAGUGGGAGAACUUCUUUGAUAUUAGUGUUCUCCAGUUUGUGGGUUGCCUGCUAGGCGGGUAUGGGAUUUAACUUUAUCGUGAUUGUGCCCUCCCCCCACCAUCUCGUUGUAGCUUCUCCUUUGUCUUUAGAUGUGGGAUAUCUUUUUUUGGUGGGUUCCAGCAUCCUCCUGUCCAUGGUUGUUCAAAAGCUAGUUGGUGCUCUCACAGGAGAUGGGCACAUGUCCUUGUACCCUGCCAUCUUGAACCAGUCAACCCUGAAGACAAGACUAUAAGUGAGUGAUUAUAAACAGUGAUUGCAGAAACUGAUUCAUGAUGGAGUUUAAGAAGUAGCCAAAAAUGUCAAGAGUUGCAGAGAAGGGAAUAAGAACUGAGAAGAGAUGGUGUUCAUCUAGUGAUAUUUAUAGAAGCAGUUCAUGAAUAAGAACCUUGGAAUUCUUUCAUCUAUUUUAUGGGUCAACUUUGUAACUGAAUUUUAAGGAUUCUUUACCAGCUGAGCCACAAGGGAAACUCAUGAAUAGUGGAGGAUCUUGCAAAUGAACAGGACCAAAGGUACAUCCAAUCCAGCUGGUGGGAUGUUAUUGUUCACUUAGUCCUGACCUCUGGAUGUAAAGUGCCUAUUCUAGUUCUCAUCUACCUGUGAUUCCUCAUGGUCUUGCAAUCUAAGGACUAAAUGGAUAGUAAAGUUGGACUUCCCUGGUGGUCUAGUGGUUAGAAGCCUCCUGCCAGUGCAGUGGACAUGGGUUUGAUCCCUGGUCCGGGAAGAUCCCACAUGCUGCAGAGCAACUAAGCCCAUGCACAACUACUGAAGCACCCUAGAG